CCUACGGGAGGCAGCAGUGGGGAAUAUUGGACAAUGGGCGGAACCCUGAUCCAGCGAAGUCGCGUGAGUGAAGAAGUAUUUCUGUAUGUAAAGCUCUAUCAGCAGGGAAGAAAGAAAUGACGGUACCUGGCUAAGAAGCCCCGGCUAACUACGUGCCAGCAGCCACGGUAAUACGUAGGGGGCAAGCGUUUUCCGGAUUUACUGGGUGUAAAGGGAGCGUCGACGGGGAUGCCAGUCUGAAGGUAAAGGCGGGGGCCCAAACCCCGGACUGCUUUGGAAACUGUAUGGCUGGAGUGCAGGAGAGGUAAGUGGAAUGCGUAGUGUAGCGGUGAAAUGCGUAGAUAUUAGGAGGAACACCAGUGGCGAAGGCGGCUUACUGGACUGUAACUGACGUUGAGGCUCGAAAGCGUGGGGAGCAAACAGGAUUAGAUACCCUAGUAGUC
rnacentral:rRNA from 1 species